rnacentral:rRNA from 1 species
CCUACGGGUGGCAGCAGUGAGGAAUAUUGGUCAAUGGACGGAAGUCUGAACCAGCCAUGCCGCGUGCAGGAAGACGGCUCUAGGAGUUGUAACCUGCUUUUGUACAAGGGUAAACCUGAAUACGUGUAUUCAACUGAGAGUACUGUACGAAUGAGGAUCGGCUAACUCCGUGCCAGCAGCCGCGGUAAUACGGAGGAUCCAAGCGUUAUCCGGAUUUAUUGGGUUUAAAGGGUGCGUAGGCGGAUUGAUAAGUUAGAGGUGAAAUGUCCGAGCUUAACUCGGGAACUGCCUCUAAUACUGUUGAUCUAGAGAGUAGGUGCGGUAGGCGGAAUGUAUGGUGUAGCGGUGAAAUGCUUAGAGAUCAUACAGAACACCGAUUGCGAAGGCAGCUUACCAGUCUAUAUCUGACGUUGAGGCACGAAAGCGUGGGGAGCAAACAGGAUUAGAUACCCGGGUAGUC